AGGCUUUUCCAUAGUGGUUUACAUACUGGACCUUGUUACGAAGAAGUAUAUACUGCAUUUUUACACAGAGAGGCUUUGAAGGUUUCUGGCACAAGAGGCAGCCUAAAUAAGACUGUUGCACGGGUGGUAUCCAGGUGUCAGCGCAAAUGCGUAGUGAAUAUCAUUAAAGAAUUCGAUGAUAGGAAGAAGGAGUUGAUUGGUGAAAUUGGAUUUGAUGGACUUUUGGAUAUCAAGCUUACUAAGGUAAACAGGCAGUUUGGGGCAUGGCUACUGAGCAAAGUUGAUCCGAAAUCAUGCGCUAUUGUUAAAGAUGUCAACCAGGAGUUGCCAUUCGGUUCCAAUGAUGUGAAUGCAGUUUUUGGCUUGCCAUGCUCAGGUCAACCUAUUAUCCCUUGCUCUCAAGAUGAAUUGGAUGGGAAGAAACAAAUAUUGUGUGAAAUAUUUAAGAUACCAAACUUUUCACACCUGAAAAUAUCACUCUUAAAGAGAAUCCUAAAGAAGCAGUAUGGUUAUCCCAUGACAAUAGAUGAAAAGAGGGUUUUCAUGGCGGCUUUUGUGCUUUAUGUCACAACGAAGCUUUUGGCACCGCAAUCCUGUGCAAACUUCAUAUCUCCUAGGUCUAUUAUGGCUGUUUCUGAUGUUGACAAUAUAAAACAGUACAACUGGUCCCAAUUCGUUGUACAUGAGGUGAAGAAAGCAGCAGAAUCAAUGCCCACCUGCUUUCCGAAUAAGGCUCAACUAUCCAUUAACGGGUGUAUCAUCUUUCUAAUGGUAAAAUACUUGAGAAAUCUCCUGUUCCGGAAGGUUGGGAUCACAUGUGUUAAAACAUGUCACAUUUCUCAGUUUGAGGAUGAUCAAAUUGCUAGGAUGAUUCAACAAGAUGUAGUUAGUAAACAUAACCCAGGAUUCCCCUUCCCUCGUUAUGGGAAACUCCAGUUGAUGAAGGAUCCAAGAGAAAACAACCCCCAUGUGCCAGAGCUAUCUCCCCUAAACUUAUGCUCCUGUUCGAAGAUCCCAUCUAGAGCCAUUGAUGGCGGUAAAAAUUUAAUAAAAUUCCUGGUAUCACACUUCUCUUCGUUAGACGUACAUAGAAGUGUCGGGUCACAGGCAUACGAGGAGUUGAAAUCUUCCGUUCAGGAUGGAUUCGAUCGGAUCGAUGAGAUUUUGCCUACCAUAUCAGAUUUCGUCGACAUAAGCACCAUGCAAACUGCUAUUCACGCAUCUAACCUAUUCAAGAGAGCCUUCAAGACUAAUAUUACAGCGGCAGUUAAGAUAGUGAUAAGGGCAGCAGUAACGAAAGUUAUUGAUACCAUUGAGGAUAUACAAGGGCCUCUCCAUCCAUGGGGAGACACAACUGCCAUGGGAUACCACACACCCACAAACUACUCCACACAUGCUACAAAAGAUGCUAGUCAAUUGGACCAACCAACCAACACGGUCAAACGUUAAACGUGAAUAG
rnacentral:lncRNA from 1 species